ensembl:snoRNA
AGACUUCUGGUGCUUACCACAGGCUGUGUUCUUACACUGCCUGUGCAGAGAGAGGAAGCAGAGUAAACCUACCACAUGCACACCUCAACUGAGGCCGUGUCUGGUCUGCAUUGGAAUUUAGAUUAAAAA